rnacentral:rRNA from 1 species
GACGAACGCUGGCGGCGUGCUUAACACAUGCAAGUCGAACGGAAAGGCCCUGCUUUUGUGGGGUGCUCGAGUGGCGAACGGGUGAGUAACACGUGAGUAACCUGCCCUUGACUUUGGGAAACUUCAGGAAACUGGGGCUAAUAACGGCUAGGAACUCCUUUAGCAAUGUGGGGGUUGGAAAGAUUCGGCGGUUGGGGAUGGACUCGCGGCUUAUCAGCUUGUUGGUGGGGUUGGGGCGUUCCAAGGCGUUGACGGGUAGCCGGCCUGAGAGGGUGACCGGCCACAUUGGGACUGGGAUACGGCCCAGACUCCUACGGGAGGCAGCAGUGGGGAAUAGUGCACAAUGGGCGGAAGCCUGAUGCAGCAACGCCGCGUGCGGGAUGACGGCCUUCGGGUUGGAAACCGCGUUCGCCUGUGACGAAGCGUGAGUGACGGUAAUGGGUAAAGAAGCACCGGCUAACUACGUG